CGCUCCGGUGGUUUAGCAGUAGGAACGUUCGUCUUGGAUGCGAAAGGUUGUAGGUUCGAUCCCCGGUCGAGUAA